rnacentral:rRNA from 1 species
CAGGCCUGAAAAUGGAUGGUGUUCAGAGCGUCGGACCUAUACCGGGCCGACUCGGCAAUUUUCAUUGAAAACAAGCCGAGACGAGUAGAAGGGCCGCUGGGGUGAGCGUCGAAGCCUGGGAAGCGAUUCUGGGUGGAGCCGCCCCGGGUGCAGAUCUUGGUGGUAGUAGCAAAUAUUCAAACGAGAACUUUGAAGGCCGAGAAGAUUA